AGUGAACGCUGGCAGUAGGCCUAACACAUGCCAGUCGAACGGCAGCACAGUAACAGCUUGCUCUUACGGGUGGCGAGUGGCGGACGGGUGAGGAAUACAUCAGAAUCUACUUUUUCGUGGGGGAUAACGUAGGGAAACUUACGCUAAUACCGCAUACGACCUACGGGUGAAAGCAGGGGAUCUUCGGACCUUGCGCGAUUGAAUGAGCCGAUGUCGGAUUAGCUAGUUGGCGGGGUAAAGGCCCACCAAGGCGACGAUCCGUAGCUGGUCUGAGAGGAUGAUCAGCCACACUGGAACUGAGACACGGUCCAGACUCCUACGGGAGGCAGCAGUGGGGAAUAUUGGACAAUGGGCGCAAGCCUGAUCCAGCCAUACCGCGUGGGUGAAGAAGGCCUUCGGGUUGUAAAGCCCUUUUGUUGGGAAAGAAAAGCAGCAGGUUAAUACCCCGCUGUUCUGACGGUACCCAAAGAAUAAGCACCGGCUAACUUCGUG
rnacentral:rRNA from 1 species